rnacentral:misc_RNA from 1 species
UCCGGUUUAUCACCGGCAGUCUCCACAGAGUCCUCGCCAUUACGCGUUAGUAACUGUGAACAAGGGUUGCGCUCGUUGCGGGACUUAACCCAACAUCUCACGACACGAGCUGACGACAGCCAUGCAGCACCUCUGCACAGACCUCCGAAGAGGGGACCUCAUCUCUGAGGCUUUCCUGUGCAGUUCAAACCCAGGUAAGGUUCUGCGCGUUGCUUCGAAUUAAACCACAUACUCCACCGCUUGUGCAGGCCCCCGUCAAUUUCUUUGAGUUUUAAUCUUGCGACCGUACUUCCCAGGCGGCGCAUCUAUCGCGUUAGCUGCGGCACCGAGGCAAAGCCCCAACACCUAGUGAUCAUCGUUUAUGGCUAAGACUAC